AAGCUGCCACUCCAGAGAGAGCUGACUCAACCACUAACUGUCACUCCAAAGAGAGCUGACUCGACCAAUUUGGACUUAUAAAUAAGUUUGUACUGCUGUUGGAGGUUGUCGUCGACCAAAGGGGUCGUUGACCAAAGGGGUUGGUCAACCAAAGUGGUUAGCAACCGAACAACAAGCCCUGAUGACCCACCACCCAAGAAGAUCAACAUCGGCGCUACAAACAACGCUGGACCCCUGGUGGCACUUCUCAGAGCAACAACUGAAAUGAAGGGCUUGAUCCACAAAACAGAACUUCUUCCCAGCUUCAUCCAACAGUGCAGUGAUGCCAGGACUUGACUGGAGGAGAGCUGCGACCCUGCAGUCUCCCAAUAAGACUAUCCUGGAGGAAAAACUCUGUAACAGAGAACAGUGUGCCUGUGUUCAUGUGCUCACCGAGAUGUCCUCGUCAGCCUUUCUGCUGAACCUCGGCAUGGCUACAGUCCCUUGUUCCAGUAAUACGUCUCCUGUGGAGUGAUGUCCAUUGCUGCUCAUUCCCUUCCAGAACAGAACCAGAAAAUAAGCUACAGUGAAUCCUACACAAAUUUCACAAACUGUCAAGACAAUGCUGGGAGGAGAAUCCAGCUUUCCACUUCAGUGCUCUAUACCCUGGACUAUGGGUCUUUUACUUCAAAGGUGUGUAGACUACAAAUGAGAUAAAAAUUUAUAUUCCUUGCAAAUUCAGUAUUUCUACUGAAACAACUGAAGGCGGAGGAAGAAGGGAUGGAAGUAAAGGCUUGGACUUGAACAAAAAUGGCAAGGUAAAUUCUUUUAAUUUUAAUUUGAGAUUAUAUCCUGAUUUAAGGGCUAAAACCUGUUAAGCAGAAUAUGCAAUUGUUCAAAAGAGCAAUUUGUAGAUACCCAGUAUCAUUUUGUAUAGAAAUUAUGAUAAUGCAAAAGCAAAACCAUAACGCUUUUCUUAACAUCAAACUGAAAUGAAUCUGUUAUGAUGCAACACCAACACCAACAAAAAAACCCCACCAGAAUUAAAUACUUUAUGGCUGAAGGUGCCCUUUUCCAUUGCCAUUAUUAUUGUCUUGAAGGAUAAUUUACUACAUUUGACAAAAGUCUUGCAUACAUUAGUCCAGAAAAACAGAGACAUUUUGUGGAAUGAGUCAUUGGUCACUCUAAAAGAAUAUCUGAACUAGAAAUAUCAUCAAAAUAUUUUUGGUAUAUAAUUUUGUAUUCUAAAUUGUUCAUUCUGAAAAACAAGAAUAUACAAAAUUUAGCACAUACAAAUUUAUAUUUUAAGAAGUUAUAAUUAUUAUUAUGGAACUUCAAGGGACUAGAUUUGUUGAAACCAUAUCUAAUAUCUUUAGAACUGGGAUCUUUAAACUUCAUUUGGAGUGCAACCAUAAGGAAAGCAAAUAAUUGUAAUGCAUUUGCAGACCAAAACAUAAAGCUGAAUGGACUAGAUUACCUUUUAUGAGUGUGAGAAUUACAAAUCUCUGCCUUGAUCUAUACAAAGUUUUCUUCCUUUCUUCUUUGCCCAACAUUUCUGAUAUUGCUUAUAUCUAAUUAUAAUGCACAUUUCUCUUUAAUCAGUGAUGCAUAAUUUAUUUUGUCAUGCUCAUAAUUGUGUUUUUCAGGCACGCUUAUUAAAAUACAUACAAAACAUCUUCCUAUAAGAUAAACUAUUCAGGAUUUGAUGAUAUAAAUUUAUAUAGAAUUCAAGCAAAAAUAGUUAUAAAUUUGUUAAUAGUAUUUUCAAUUUAUAACAGUAGGCUUCAAGGCAAAAAGAAAGCUUUAAAAUCCUUAAAUUUAAUGUAUGAAAAAAUCAAUAAAAAUAAUAUAAAACUUGGGAUAUCUACCUUGCUUUUAGGGAUGUGAAUCUGUUGACUCAAUGACAAAACACAUUUUUUUUCCUAACUAUCCUUGAUUGCAUUGGAGGCUUCUAACACCAAAAAUAGUGUAGGAAGACUAAUCUUAUGUAAUAAACAGAAAUAUUGGAUAGGGGUCAAACCCAGGUCAUCAUUGGAGACUUUAGAGUUGAAGAAUGGUUUUACUAAGGAAAUUAAUGCUAAGUAUUAAUGCAGUGAAUUUAAAACUCUAUUUUAUGUAUUUCUUUAUUAUAUUAUAAAUAUAGAAGCUACAUUUAUACUAUUAGGCUGAACAAGAAUAGGACAGUGGCCAAACAUAGUGGGGGUUGCUGCAACCCACGUGCAAAACCUUGAACCCCACGAGGUUCUCCUGUAUCAUAGAAUCAUAGAAUCAUAGAAUGGCCUGGGUUGAAAAGGACCUCAAGGAUCAUCGAGUUUCAACCCCCCUGCUGUGUGCAAGGUCACCAACCACUAGGCCAGGCUGCCGAGAGCC